GGAUGCAGGAUUUGGGGUGGGGAUGCAGGAUUUUGGGGUGGAAACCAGGUAACAAACCCCAAAACCAAGCACUAAACCAAGCAGAAACCCCAAAAGUAGGUACCAAAACCAAGCACAAACCCCAAAACCAAACCCGAACCCCAAAACCAGGCACAAACCCCAAAACCAGAUACAAACCCCAAAACCAGGCACCAAACCCAAAACCAACCCCAAAACUGAGCACAAAUACCAAAACCAAACCCCAAAACCAGGCACAAACCCCAAAACCAGGUAAAAACCCCAAAACCAGGCACCAAACCCAAAACCAACCCCAAAACCAAGCACAAACACCAAAACCAGGUAAAAACCCCAAAACCAGGCACGAAUCCCAAAACCAGAUACAAACCCCAAAACUAGGCACCAAACCCGAAACCAACACCAAAAGCAGAUACAAACCCCAAAUCCAUGUGCCAAACCCAAAACCAACCCCAAAACUGAGCACAAACACCAAAAUCAGGUACAAACCCCAAAACCAGGCACAAACCCCAAAACCAUCCACAAACCCCAAAACCAGGCACAAACCCCAAACCAAACCCCAAAAACCAGACACAAACCCCAAACCAAGCCCCAAAACCAGGCACGAACCUCAAACCAAACCCCAAAACCAAACCCCAAAACCAUCCACAAACCCCAAAACCAUCCGCAAACCCCAAAACCAAACCCCAAAACCAUCCAGAAACCCCAAAACCAUCCAGAAACCCCAAACCAAACCCCAAAACCGGACACAAACCCCAAAACCAAACCCCAAAACCAUCCAGAAACCCCAAAACCAAACCCCAAAACCAUCCACAAACCCCAAAACCAAACCCCAAAACCGGACACAAACCCCAAACCAAACCCCAAAACCGGACACAAACACCAAACCAAACCCCAAAACCGGACACAAACCCCAAAACCAAACCCCAAAACCAGACACAAACCCCAAACCAAACCCCAAAAUCCGGCACAAACCCCAAAACCAAACCCCAAAACCAUCCACAAACCCCAAAACCAAGCCCCAAAACCAGGCACGAACCUCAAACCAAACCCCAAAACCGGACACAAACCCCAAAACCAAACCCCAAAAACCAUCCACAAACCCUAAAACCAAACCCCAAACCCCCUCCCGUGGUGUCCCGCAGGGAGAAGGACUCGGAGCUGAACCAGAAGCGGCCGCAGUACAUCAAGGCCAAGGAGAACACCUCACACA
rnacentral:lncRNA from 1 species